rnacentral:rRNA from 1 species
UCGAGAAUCAUUCGCAAUGGGCGAAAGCCUGACGGUGCGACGCCGCGUGGAGGAUGAAGGCCCUCGGGUCGUAAACUCCUGUCAUCAGGGAGUAAGGCAGUAGUCGUUAAUAGCGGCCACUGUUGCUAGUACCUGAAGAGGAAGAGACGGCUAACUCUGUGCCAGCAGCCGCGGUAAUACAGAGGUCUCAAGCGUUGUUCGGAUUUACUGGGCGUAAAGCGUGCGUAGGCGGCGAGGUAAGUCAGAUGUGAAAGCUCGGGGCUCAACCCCGAAAUUGCAUCCGAUACUGCCUUGCUAGAGUAAUGGAGGGGAGUCUGGAAUUCACGGUGUAGCAGUGAAAUGCGUAGAUAUCGUGAGGAACACUAGUGGCGAAGGCGAGACUCUGGACAUUUACUGACGCUCAGGCACGAAGGCUAGGGUAGCGAAGCGGAUUAGAUACCCCCGUAGUCC